UCGGAACCCCGGAGCACCGCCGGCCGAUCCGGCACAGCCAGCCGGCGACAUGAAGAGAUCAAGGAGUUUCCUGGAAUGGUUCCCUUGUCUCCGCGGCGGGCAAGUUGCAAACUAGAAAGAUCCAACGACAAGGCCACGAGAUUAUUACCUGCGAGAUUCGGAGAAAUGAAUUUGCACGAGGGAAGAAGCCUUUGUCCUGUAUCUAAGUUGCAGUUCUUUUUUUUUGUUUUUGAAUCUGGAUGAAGUCCUAUUUUUCCCUGAAAUUUGGUACCUUUUGUUGUCGUCCCACUCCAAAGUUUGAAUUCAACGAAGGCCUAUCGUCGUCCGGUCUAUAUUUGUAUACCUUUUUCUGGUGGAACUGUUAUAAUUCCUCAUUGUAAAAUCUUCACUA